rfam:Loxodonta africana unplaced genomic scaffold scaffold_145, whole genome shotgun sequence.
AGGCUUCCAAGGUGAUCCUUGGCCCACAGACUUCCCUGACCUCCUGCCCACAUCUUCCCCUGGUUGCCCCCGAGUACUCCACGCUUCCCUGGUUACCCCUCGGCUCCCCCGCUUCCCCAGUUUCCCCAGUUUCCCCAUUACCCCCACCCAUCCCACC